GUUCAAUGGGUGAAUAAGUACAAGCUUCCCUUGAAACAGUGGUUCGCAGAUUUUUUUUCAGUGACUCUUUUACUAACAAAAUGCCGCAUAUCCCCUACCCUUUUUCCUGGUAAUAAGUGCUUUUCUUUUCGUUUCUUUCUUUCUUUCUUUCUUUUUUUUUUUUUUUUUUUGAGACAGGCUCUCACUCUGUCACCCAGGUUGGAGUGCAGUGGUGCCAUCAUGGCUCACUGCAACCUCAGACUGCCAGGCUCGCAUGAUCCUCCCACCUCACUCUCCUGAAUAGCUGGGACUGCAGGUGCAUGACAUCAAGUCCAGAUGUAGUGAGAAGGUGGCCAUUCCCAACCCAAGGAGAGAACCCUCACCAGAUACUGACCCUGCUGGCAUCUUGAUCUUGGACUUCAAGGCUCCAGAACUG
rnacentral:lncRNA from 10 species